UGGAGUGAACCAGAUGGGAUGAUGGCUGUCAUUUUAAAGACGAACGCGCUUUUCUUGUCUGCCUGUGGAAAUUUCGCCUCUGCGUGACCUUGUGAACUUGCCUUCCGUGUGACCCUCGACAAUCCCCCCCUCUCCGACGGCUCCCAGAACACCCCUCCACAUCCUUGUGCUCAUUUGAGCAGGCUAUUACCCAGGCAGGAAGUGACAUCAACGGGUCCAAACUAAAAAUAUGUCGCAGGACGGGCUGUCUAGGAUGUCCAGGACCGGUGUUUGUAAAGAAGGAUGCCAUGCACCGGCUCUACAGAGUGAUGCUCAUUGAAGGAUGCAGGAGAGAGCGCCACACAGGCGAGCCAGACAGACGCACUGGAGGCUGAAUACUGAUAGUCUUCCUGUGGCCUCCCUGGUCUGGUUGGAGCUUGAUGACAUGAACAGUUCUGGACAGAUGUAAACCAGCCUUCUUUAGCAGUGGUCCUCUUGUUCCUGCAUCUCAUCUAUCUCUUCCCCUGCAGCUCCUGGCUAUCUUCACCCUCUGUGGCUCCUUCUGAUGGCCCCCUAAUCUCCGCCAGUGUGCAGCCAUGUAUGCAUUGCAAGGCGGCUGUGUAAUCAAGCCUGUGAACUCCACAUCUGAAGGAAGGAUUCUGUUUCUGAUCACAUGCCUUUUGAAGUCCAUCCAUUCGCUGAACACGGAUGUGUUGACGGGAUCAAGCUUGCUCUCCUUGCCUGCACAGCGAGGCCGUGGAGCCAUUAGUGAGUCCCUCCUCUGAUAAUGAAGCCACAGAGGUGGUCCGAGCCAGUGUGGCACAGGAGCUCCAGCACAGGAGGAAGGUAGAUUAGUAUAAUUACCUGGCCACAGGGGAAUGAUGAGGAAGAUGUCUCGCUUCCCGCAGGCCUUCACUGAAGAAGGACGGAGUGCUGAAUAAUCAGGUGCCACACUGGAAAGAAAAGAAGUGAAAAUUAGUUCCAAUCAUUGCUAAUGAUCAAAAUGUGGAACGAUGCAUUUUUAAUUGUGUGUGACAGUGAUUGCUCAUUUCAUGUUUUCCAGAUGACAUCCAUAUCCCGCACAUGUGUGCAUUUGCUGUUUGUAGCUGUAGUUUAAGUCUCGCACACAUACAGUACAUAAGUCCCAGAUAUUCACACUCAGUGAGACUUUGAAGAGUCUAUGAGGUCAGGUUUUAAAUUAUGGUCUGCUCCCACACCAGGCUUUCUCUCCCCACUCCUGUAAAUCCAUUUUCCACACAAUGCAUUUCAAAUCAAAGCAGCGUCACCAUAACAUGCCUUAGGAAACAUUAAGCCAUAGUGCAUCACUUUCAUGUAUGAUAGCAUAGCCCCUGUAUGCUUUGAUGUGCUCACUUUUUUUUUUUUAAUGCUUUAUUAAUAAUAACACACAGGCUCCCUCUCACACCAAACAUCAGCUUCUGGUGCUCCUCUUUCUCUCCUCCUGAACUACAUCCCUCACUCUCCCUCACUCCUUGCCUUUGCCUCUGCUCCUUCAUCCCUCCCCCGGCCCCUGAGCCAUGUCUCAGGAUUGGCCUGUUUGUGUUUGGGAUGGGGAGGGGGAGGAUUAGAGGGAAUGACAUGGGGGCCUCUGAGAUGAAGAGAGCGACAAAGACCUAUCAGAGGGCAGAGAGUGAGGGGCGCUGCAUCAUCAUUGGCUGACGUGGAAAUCAGACAUGUCUUCAUUUCUUCCAGCCAUACAUUCUGAGUGCCCAGCUUUCAUUUCCAUGCCCAAGGAGGGAAGCAGAGUGAGGAAGAAGAGAGGGAGGGGGUCAGGAUUAGACUUUCUGUUUGUGCAUUUAAGUGAAUUUGCAUGUGUGUGUUUGCUUGCAUGAUGUGUGCAGCAAACAUCCUACAAAUACAGAGGGAAGAGCGCAAAGACACUGAUAGCACUCACCUCCUCCAAAUCUGGACAAAAUACAAAAUCCUGGAGCACCCUGAAAACUCAUUGUGCCAUUCCAGCUAAACACAGACACACAGGACCUACUUAUGAUAUGGAUUUUUCACUGAUUUCUCUCAUUAUUUCAGCUUCAUCCCUGAAUACCUUGUUUCAGGCACCCCAACGCUCACAAUGGCUGUUCAGUAUUUUCUGUUUUUUCUUUUUUCCUUUUCAAUAAUUUCAAAGCAAUGUUAGCGAUUUAGCACUUCGCAGCUCCCCACGAUCACAUCUGCUGAUUUAAUUUUCUGCUUUUGUGUGGCGUUUGUGUUCCUUUUUGAUGUUUCUUUCCUCUAACUGUUAAAUAACAUCACUGAAUCUUGUUUUGUGUUUUUGCAUUAUAUUUUCAGCCCACAACUUCUGCAGAAGUCUCUCAAGUCGUUUAACGCAAUCUGUGGCUGUAUUGUGUAAAAGCUGCAUGUAAUUAGUAACACAUGCCAUAAUUGCUUGUAUAUGUUCUCAUACACAUUAUGCAAUGUUGUCUACACAGAUUUGGCGGAAUUCUGCAAAGUUCUCAUGUGACGAACGUGCCCGUCCAUCUUGCCGUUGCAACAGACUGUUGUCAGUGUGCGCCUGCUUGUUAGGAUGCAGCCAGUUGACUCUGGCUGUUUGAGCCAUGAUGGAGCAGUGGUGCCGGGCCCCAGUUGACUUGUCUCU